UGGGUCGUCCUGAAAAUCAGUUAUAUGUUAGGUGCUCGUUGACUUCAUCAUCAAAAGUUCACUUAAGGUCUCUUGUGAAAGAAAGAUUGGAACGUUGCACUGAGAAUACAUCUACAUGCAUACCUGUCCUUAUGACUGAUAUUACAUCUGUAGAUCAGCGUCUCUGCAAUAGUAAUCUUGAAGAUAAGCCAGGUCGAGGAGUUUGGUGCGAGGAAGAUGGGUGUGUUUUCAGUUCUAUCUUGUGCCCUUUCUGCAGUACCUUUAACUGUCUUGGAGUCCAAAUCAUGGCAGCUGAUGCCUCCAACGUUCAAUUACUUAACAAGGUUUGUUUUAAUGAGAGGAUGUAUUUUUUUGAUGCUUCAAACUAAGAUCAGGUUUUCAUAUUUCUUUCACUGUUAAUAUUUGUGGUUGCUAUUCUUUUGAUCUUGACUGCUGCAAUACUGCUUAAUAUGCAGAUAUUGUUUUAUUUUGAUCAUCUGGAAAUUCAGGAUCUUGAAGGAUCAGUGGACAAGGGGCAAAAGGUAACUUAGUAUUAUAUGGUCGGCAAGUUCUUUUAUAAUUCUUUUGUUAUUUUUGUGCUAGUUGUGUAAGGAAUAAAAGAGAGAAGACUAUGGAAUUCACAGCUAAAAUAGAAAUGAACGACAAACCUAGAGGUGUAUUACCUUUGGGUUUCUGUUUACAGAACAACCAAAACUCAAAUAAAGACCUGAUGGAGUUGAAAUAUAGACUUUAGAAUUAAAUCAUAACAUCAAACUUGACUGAUCAUAGCACUCUACAUUCACAUGCCUUCCUCAGUAGAACAUCGAUAAGAAGCUCCAAAGCAUAUUUGACGUUUUGGUCUUUGAACUUUCAUUGUUUUAUCACUAUUAACAGUUCUAUUACAUCUCUACGUACAAGUGCAGGUUUUGCAAAACCAUAGCCCAAGCAUGGACAAAAUUGCUGCCUUUAACUCCAUUGAUAGAUUCUCAUAUAGCAAAAAUCAGAAAUUGAACAAUGAAGGUAUAUCUGAUGACUAAAUGGGAUGUAUAAUUAAAAUGCAAAUACCUAGAAACUUUAGCUAGGAUACAUGAUACACCAACUUUAGUUAUUAAGUCCUGCACGAUGAUCCAUUAUGGAACGUAUUGAAAUAUAAAAAAAAUAAAAAAAUAAAAAAAUAAAAAAAAAAUUCAACAUAUUGAACUGAAAAUUGUUUUCGUGAUAAUCCAUUGUGGUCUUGGUCUAUUAUUCCUGCACUAAUAAUUCAAAGUUCCUGCGGGCAAGAUGCCAAAUGGAAAAUAACAAGCAGAAUUUUACUCUCCUUUCAUUAUCUAAAUACAUCAUGUAAUAUAUUUGCACAUUCGUAUGGGGUAAAUAAUUGGUUAUGCUAGAAGUAUCUUUUCUUCUCGUGAAAUAUCCAAGUGGUAUAACUCUUACUUGAUAAAAAAGUACUUAUUUGUAGGUGUUCUGAGACAUCGUCCCAGGAAGAUCCAGAAGUAACUUUCGUCAAGGAAACCCUCAGUACGGGCUGCAACGAAACCACAACUACAACAGCUUCUUUCUCCAUGGAUAAGAGCCCUAAUUUAAACUUGAGUCCGCCAUCUGCUGAGUUUAUAGAUCAAGUCUCAUUCCAUUCAGCAUGUCUAACAAAUGCAAGUAGAGCUUCUGACAGAGCUCAGUGUUCGGGGGUAGCGACUCCCAGAAAAGACUCGACUGCUAAUAACUGCAGCCUGAUACCUGAAGCAGAGUCGACUCUAAAUUUGAGUGUUAAUUCUCAUACCCAGAAAAAAAGGAAGUCCGUGGGCUCGCCAUUAAUUGAUGUUAAAAAGCAAAAUGAUUCUCCCAAUGCUCAAACUUCUGGCUGUGUUGGUUUCAUAGAAAACACAAUUGCCAUUAAAGAUGCAAGUCGGAGGAUUGAAUUUGAUUUUGCAACUAACAGUGCACAAUCCCUGUCCAUUAGGUUAAAGAAGCCUCAGAUUCUCCCUUUAGAUAAUUCUGCUCCACCAUCUUCUGAUCCUGUCAUGGACAAGAAAUUAAGAAUUUCUUGUUCGCUCUGCAAGAGCCCUUUGGGUCGUCCUGAAAAUCAGUUAUAUGUUAGGUGCUCGUUGACUUCAUCAUCAAAAGUUCACUUAAGGUCUCUUGUGAAAGAAAGAUUGGAACGUUGCACUGAGAAUACAUCUACAUGCAUACCUGUCCUUAUGACUGAUAUUACAUCUGUAGAUCAGCGUCUCUGCAAUAGUAAUCUUGAAGAUAAGCCAGGUCGAGGAGUUUGGUGCGAGGAAGAUGGGUGUGUUUUCAGUUCUAUCUUGUGCCCUUUCUGCAGUACCUUUAACUGUCUUGGAGUCCAAAUCAUGGCAGCUGAUGCCUCCAACGUUCAAUUACUUAACAAGGUUUGUUUUAAUGAGAGGAUGUAUUUUUUUGAUGCUUCAAACUAAGAUCAGGUUUUCAUAUUUCUUUCACUGUUAAUAUUUGUGGUUGCUAUUCUUUUGAUCUUGACUGCUGCAAUACUGCUUAAUAUGCAGAUAUUGUUUUAUUUUGAUCAUCUGGAAAUUCAGGAUCUUGAAGGAUCAGUGGACAA
rnacentral:lncRNA from 1 species